rnacentral:sRNA from 1 species
UUAUAACUUUUGCGUGAGGGAUCGACGUGGAAAUCCUUUGGGUUGGCGCGAGGCGGCGGAGCGAAGCGGAGCCGUCCGAGCGUCAACCUCAAAGAUUGAAACAAAGAGCCCGACCCGAG